GACGAGGGGUCCUAGCGUUGUUCGGAAUCACUGGGCGUAAAGGGUGCGUAGGCGGGUCUUUAAGUCAGGGGUGAAAUCCUGGAGCUCAACUCCAGAACUGCCUUUGAUACUGAGGAUCUUGAGUUCGGGAGAGGUGAGUGGAACUGCGAGUGUAGAGGUGAAAUUCGUAGAUAUUCGCAAGAACACCAGUGGCGAAGGCGGCUCACUGGCCCGAUACUGACGCUGGGGCACGAAAGCGUGGGGAGCAAACAGG
rnacentral:rRNA from 1 species